GAUGAAGAACGUAGCGAAAUGCGAUACGUAAUGUGAAUUGCAGAUUUCAGUGAAUCAUCGAAUCUUUGAACGCACAUUGCGCCCGCCAGCACUCUGGCGGGCAUGCCUGUUCGAGCGUCAUUUCAACCAUCAAGCCCCAGGCUUGCGUUGGAGCCCUGCGGCUGCCGCAGCCUCCUAAAAGCAGUGGCGGGCUCGCUAUCACACCGAGUGCAGUAGAUUACUCUUCGCUCAGGGCGUGCAGCGGGUUCCGGCCGUGAAACCCCCUACUUUUAAAGGUUGACCUCGGAUCAGGUAGGAAUACCCGCUGAACUUAAGCAUAUCAAUAAGCGGAGGA
rnacentral:misc_RNA from 1 species